GCCCCAGGACCUCUUCUCCUGGCCUGCCUGACACAGAGCUUUCUGGGUCAGACACUCUCGCAGCUCACAACAGGCAUGUCUUCUACUGUUAUACUCCUCUGUAUAAGAACAAUCAUAGUAGCAGGAGUGCUGACAGGGCGCCCCCAGGUGGUGAGCAGCAGCACACUGAGAAGAUGAGGAGCUCAGGUCUAGGAGGGGGCAGAGACCAGCAGCCCUCUUCCUCACUGGACAGCUCCAGUGUCGCGUGCUGCUCUCCAGGACAGCGCCUCCUCUCAGCGUCAGAGCGGCCUUCAGAGAGACCACCCAGCUCCUGGGGUAGUGAACCGCCCAUUCAGACAGUUCUAGGAGCGGAUUCACACACUCAUCACAAGAAGCCAUGACCAGCGUUGCUUCUCUCCUGAGUGCCUUGAUUUUUAUAAGUGAGCUUACUUCCACCAGCAAGCAAUGGCCGAUAAAAGUAAUAACAUCUCUGUUGCUUUACUUUACUUUUCCAGAACUGCAACGAGGGACAUUUAUUGAAGAAUAUAUUCAGAAAUCUAGCUUGAUUGACUGACAUCUUCUUUCUGAUCUAGCUAGGAUCACAUUUUGUAAUAUCCACUAUUCAAAACCGACAAUAUUUCAAACUGUGAGAAUCAUACUUUAAUAAUAUGAGGAACACAUGACAGGAAGUGCCCAGAGUGCUUUGCAGUGU